ensembl:snoRNA small nucleolar RNA SNORA67
AUCCAAGGUGAUUCCCGUUCCAAGAGGCCUGCUCAUGCCCCUCUUCAUGUUACUUUUCCUCUUCAGGAAAGUAACAACUUAGAAUAAAAUCUGGCAUGCCUUCAGUUGCUGGCGGCGAGGAGAUUUCUGUUUCCUUGGCCUCCCUUUGGCUGCCGAAACGC